CCGCGGAGCCGCCUGCAGCUCCCGCCAGGCCUGCACUGGCCGCCCCAGGUCCACGGAGCUCAUAGGGACCCGCACCUCCCCGAUGGCGUCAUUGCGAGAGAAGCGGUCGAAGUCGUACACCGCCAUGACCAGCACCCUGCCCCCCAGCUCCACGUAGGGGACCUGGAGUGCACAGAGAAUCCGCAGUAGAGAGCAGGAAGUCAGAGAUAGGGUGAGGCACAGCACAACCAGAAGGAAGGCAUGGAGUGAGGCAGCGAGGGUCGAAGCGAACAGUUGGGGGAACUCAAAUGGGAAAGUCCAGGGAUCCAUGCGGAAAAAAAUCACGGGUCAGUGGAACCCAAAUCGUACCGCCCAAGGACCAGGCUACAGCCCAGGAGUCAGUAGUGCCCAGGGUCCAGUGGAAUAGCCCCAGAGCUGGUAGCUGCCACCUGAGCUGUGGCCGCCUCCAGGAAAAGCGGAAGGGGUCGGUCCCUAGUGUUCCAGGGACUGGGCACAGGCUAUGGAACACGGGGCCUGAAGGCAGGAGCUCACCUUGAAGGCGAAGGUCUCCCCAAAGUGAGGGUUCAGCGUCUGCCGAUGCACCUUGGUCUCGUACCGCCUCCGUUUGUCCGGCAGCAGGUAGACCCGCACAUAGGGGUCCGAGGAGCCACCAAGAUCCAAGGCUGCCAAUCCCAUUGCUUGCAGAAUGCCCACCAGCAGCUGCAGGGCCCAGGCACAGUGGGGGAGGUGGGGAACACUAGUCUUAGCCUCCCUUCCAUGGCUCCUUUCAGAAGGGGUUGGAACCCCCGGGAUCCUCCCUCCAAAGCUUCCCCUUCCUCCACACCCACCUGGCCACUCUGGAAGUCAUAAUCCAGGGAGUACUGCAGUCGUCCUAGCUCAUGCUUGUCUGCCACCUGCUGCCCUGGCCCGGAUGGUGCUGGCUCCAGCUCCUCUACUUCUGGCUGCACCUUAAGGAGCCAGGGGUAAGGGUGGGUGAAGUCUUCCCCUGAUAGCAGUAUCCAUCAGGCUCAGAAGCCAAGGGAGGCUCACAGGUCCCUUGGGCUAUACCUGAGCUCUCACAGGCUAAGCAGAUUCAGUAUUUGACUAGUGCUGUCUGCCACAGGCAGGAAAUAGACGUGGUAACACAGAUGCAGUAUGUUUGUGAAGGUUUGAUUAGUGGUGUCUGCUAUGGGCAGGAACUAGACAUGUGCUUGUCAUGCUUAGAUUAAAACAAGUGCUGAUAGUGUCCCAUUGCCCACAGGAAUAAUGCAGGUUUUAUUUCACAUGCUAAUGGAUGUACUGGGGUGCUAGUCCAAACUGCCAUGUUUACUUGUGAUCUUAGCACAGCAAAACAUGGAGGAGAAAUGGCAUAUUUACUGUGUACUUGCCAUUCUAAAGUUGAAUGAAAAAGCAGAAGGUGUCUCCUUAACCUAGGCCAGCAAUUCUUAAAAUUCAAUGUGAACCUGAAUUCCCCUGAAUCCUGUGGCAAAAUGUCUGAGGUCACCUCUUCAGGGAUUCUGACUUGAUAGGUCAGGUGCUAGUGCCAGAAUUUGCAUUUCAACAAGUACCCAGUGUGAUUCUGCUGCAGACGGUCUUUGAACAUCACUGGUUUAAGGGACAGGGAUGGGGCUGGACACCAGGACCCUAAAUAGCAUCCUUUACGGAUGCUAAUUGAACAGCUCCUUAUUGAGAAGGAAGGAGGGGAAAUACCAAGUUAGUGACCACAGACUUGAGGCUCAGAGAGGGACAGUGAGUUCUCCAAGGUCACACAACCAGGAAAUGGUCCUUCUUGGUUGGAAACCUAGGGCUGUCUGGCUCCCAGGCAACCACUGCACUCUGCAC
rnacentral:lncRNA from 1 species